UAGAGUAAACGCUCAAAACAUACUAUUUGAUCAUGAAAGUUGCAUUUGUAUGAUCUUCUACAAGCUUCUUGCACUUAAGGUGUGGGUGAGUGUGAAUCUUGAUUCUGAAAAUUAUAAAUGAUAAAGAGAGGAACAUACAAAUGAUAAACUGCACCGGGACAAUACAGCCCAGACACUCCUCUCUGCAUCCUGUGUGUUUGUGUCCCUCCCUCGUCUGUGCUCCUCAAGUGCUGCGGGGGGAUUAAUGGAACUAUGGGAACUCGAGCCGCAGCUGCUCCAUCAAUGCAGCAGGAGGAACACAAAAUCCCAGCACAACACUCCACUGAUUUAAGUGUGAUGCCUUCA